rnacentral:misc_RNA from 1 species
AUCGCGUCACCCCCUCCUCCUUCUUAGGUGGAUGGGGUGGAAUGUGACCUCCUGUUCCGUGAGGUGCAGUUGGUCGAAAUUUGAGUCCGGAGCUUAGGAUGUCACGGCAAGUGGUGGUUGGAUAACAACUCGCGUGCUGUCGUGUGCCGAACCUCUUGCGGCUGUAAAGACCCUAAGGCAUGUGUUUCUCUCCGCAUUUGUGGAGUGGAGCUCGUGCUACGA